AUUGAACGCUGGCGGCAGGCCUAACACAUGCAAGUCGAGCGGAGCGGCGGACGGGUGAGUAAUGCCUAGGAAUCUGCCUGGUAGUGGGGGAUAACGUCCGGAAACGGGCGCUAAUAUCGCAUACUUUCAGUUGAGCCUAGGUCGGAUGAGCUAGUUGGUGGGGUAAAGGCCUACCAGGGCGACGAUCCGUAACUGGGCUGAGAGGAUGAUCAGUCAAACUGGAACUGUGAAACGGUCCAGACGCCGACGGUAGGCAGGAGUGGGGAAUAUUGGAAAAUGGGCGAAAGGCUGAUACAGCCAUGCCGCGUGUGUGAAGAAGGUCUUCGGAUUGUAAAGUACUUUAAGUUGGGAGGCGUUACCAACAGAAUAAGCACCGGCUAACUACGUGCCAGCAGCCGCGGUAAUAC
rnacentral:rRNA from 1 species